GAUUUUAAAAGCAUUACGUAUUCAAGAAUCCAUGAGACGAACUGACCCUGAAGGAGUUGUGCUGCGUGCAUUGUCCUUAAACACUAUAAGAAGAUGGGCAUACAGUGUCCCUGCACCAAACUGCCUUUGGCACAUUGAUGGGAACCACAAACUUAUCAGGGUAUCUGACUUCUACACAGCAGUGGAGGAUAGCGAACUUGACAGCAUUGUAACUGAAAUUCAGUGCAACUUUCCAAAUUCUGGAUACAAGAUGAUGCUUGGGUAUCUGCAUGGAUGAGGAAUCAGGAUUCAAUCAUUACGUAUUCAAGAAUCCAUGAGACGAACUGACCCUGAAGGAGUUGUGCUGCGUGCAUUGUCCUUAAACACUAUAAGAAGAUGGGCAUACAGUGUCCCUGCACCAAACUGCCUUUGGCACAUUGAUGGGAACCACAAACUUAUCAGCUGUCCAAAGAUUUGGCUUGCCUUCCCGUGUGAGAAGUGACAAAGGAGGAGAAAAUAGAGAAGUUGCAAGUUUUAUGGUCAGCACUAGAGGGACAGACAGAAACUCACACAUAGCAGGGAGAAGUGUGCACAACCAAAGGUAAAUGUAACAGAUUUUACAGUGAUUUAUGGA